UACGUAGGGUGCAAGCGUUAAUCGGAAUUACUGGGCGUAAAGCGUGCGCAGGCGGUUUUGUAAGUCUGUCGUGAAAUCCCCGGGCUUAACCUGGGAGUGGCGAUGGAGACUGCAAGGCUGGAGUUUGGCAGAGGGGGGUAGAAUUCCACGUGUAGCAGUGAAAUGCGUAGAGAUGUGGAGGAACACCGAUGGCGAAGGCAGCCCCCUGGGUCAAGACUGACGCUCAUGCACGAAAGCGUGGGGAGCAAACAGG
rnacentral:rRNA from 1 species